UACGUAGGGUGCGAGCGUUAAUCGGAAUUACUGGGCGUAAAGCGUGCGCAGGCGGUUUUGUAAGACAGGUGUGAAAUCCCCGGGCUUAACCUGGGAACUGCGCUUGUGACUGCAAGACUCGAGUACGGCAGAGGGGGGUAGAAUUCCACGUGUAGCAGUGAAAUGCGUAGAUAUAGGAAGGAAUACCAGUGGCGAAGGCGGCCUCCUGGAUCGAUACUGACGCUGAGGCGCGAAAGCGUGGGGAGCAAACAGG
rnacentral:rRNA from 1 species